rnacentral:rRNA from 1 species
ACAAGGUCUCCGUAGGUGAACCUGCGGAGGG